rnacentral:rRNA from 1 species
AGGGUUUGAUCAUGGCUCAGAUUGAACGCUGGCGGUAUGCUUAACACAUGCAAGUCGAACGGUAACAUAGCUAGCUUGCUAGCUGAUGACGAGUGGCGGACGGGUGAGUAAUGCAUAGGAAUCUGCCUAUUAGUGGGGGACAACCUGUGGAAACGCAGGCUAAUACCGCAUAAGCCCUACGGGGGAAAGCGGGGGAUCUUCGGACCUCGCGCUAAUAGAUGAGCCUAUGUCAGAUUAGCUAGUUGGUGAGGUAAUGGCUCACCAAGGCGACGAUCUGUAGCUGGUCUGAGAGGAUGAUCAGCCACACUGGGACUGAGACACGGCCCAGACUCCUACGGGAGGCAGCAGUGGGGAAUAUUGGACAAUGGGCGAAAGCCUGAUCCAGCAAUACCGCGUGUGUGAAGAAGGCCUGAGGGUUGUAAAGCACUUUCAAUAGUGAGGAAUACCUGGGGGUUAACACUCCCCAGACUGACAUUAGCUAUAGAAGAAGCACCGGCUAACUCCGUGCCAGCAGCCGCGGUAAUACGGAGGGUGUAAGCGUUAAUCGGAAUUACUGGGCGUAAAGCGUGCGUAGGCGGCUUGUUAAGUUAGAUGUGAAAGCCCCGGGCUCAACCUGGGAACUGCAUUUAAAACUGGCGAGCUAGAGUUGAGUAGAGGGGA